GUAUUAUGCUUAGUUUAAUACCGACAUUACAACAGCUCAUACUAGAUCAGUCGAAAUUUUUAUUUUCGACCUUCUUGCUUUUUUCCUAAUUUUCGUGUAACGCGAACAAUCUUAUAUCAAUUCACAAUGUGUCAAUGGCCAUGUUAUCCUGCUGCCUGCUUAGGAUCAUGCGGCGGUUGUGGGCCAAGUGGAUUCUACGAUCCCAGCUUUGGACCCUUUAAUGGACCAGUCAACAGUUGGUGCGGGCCGUGCUGCGGUCGAGGACGCUGGUGUUGAGCAACAAAAAUUCAUAUUUUAUGGUUAUAAGGUUUUCGCUUACAGAAGAAAUUUAGGAAAAAAAUUUUUGUGUUUAUGAAGCAAAUUUUCUAUGAAUAAAAAAACCAAAACUAUUUA